AUUCAAAGCCAAACUGAGCCAUGACCAGUUUAAAUUGCACAAGCUAAAGGUGGAGCCAAAUGCAAGGGUUUUGCAGAUUGAUUAAGAAAAGGGGUUAACAUUACCUCUGAUGGAACAUUUGACUUAUCUCCUCACCUCUUGCUAGCAUGAAUACAAUGUUUUAGAUAGCUCCCAAGCUUAAAUUGUUUCUUAGCUGAUCCUCAUUGUUUCAGGCUCUCAAACAUGCAUGAAUCACAGCCCUGAAAAAUCAUGUAAUUUAUGUGGUGAUAGUCCAGGAAGGCUGCUAGAGGCAACAUAAAAUUAAGUUAUAGCUUCUGGGAAAUAGCUAACAUGGCAAAGCCAAAACAACUUUAGUUUGCAUGAAGCCAAAAGUGAAGCAAUGAUGUAAAACAUUCUAAGAUGAAGGCAACUGCUAAAAAUGUCAUGCAGGUGGAGCCAAAGCCAGCCACAUAAAAUUACAUGAUGCUGAAGCUGAAACUUAUCUUGGGCAUGGAACAUUUUUCUAAGCUUCAGCUAAAUCUAAAGUUGUUUGAGGAAAUAGGCUUCUCAGAACCAAAUUACUUUGUCCUCACUUGCAUGUUAAGCCAUUCCCAUCACCCAUGCAGUAUGUUUGAGUGUGAAAUGGUCUGAAGAGGUCCAAAUUUAGGCCUACCGGGCAACUAAUCCACUGGGUAUGUACCAAGAACCAUACCUUCAGUAAUGUUUUGCAGAUUUCAUUGGGCAGGCUUUCUUGUGUUAUUUAUGAUCAAACAAAGGAAAUACUCAUGAAAUAAAAGCAAAACAUGGAGCUGAAAAAUAAAGUCAUGUUUUGACUUAACUUAUAUAGCUGACUUGUGUAUAUAUUUUCAGACAAAUUUAAUUGUUACAAUAAUACAUGCAUUAUUUCUCAUUAUCACCUGAAUAAGGAUAUGCAUAUCUGUUUUGAAUGACCUGAAAGAUCAAGCAGACAGAUUAAGAGUGACACUGUAGUUAACAAUUCAGCACAUGAGGGUGUGAUGCCACUUGUUUGAAGUUAACCAAACAUGUUCAGUCUUGCAAUAUGUGUGGCAUCAGUCAUUCAGGUCGCCUUUGGCCUGAAUGGCCGUGGGCUAACUCCCCUGGACUCAGCAUCAUUUGAUAAGAUAACAUCAAAGUUUAAGGCAACACUGAUCAAGUUUGAUAAAUACUUUCCAUAUGGUCCUGAUCAUGAUGAGUAUGUCAAAAUGGCAGUCAAUGCAGCAGACAACAGUGAUUUCCUUGUGGCUGAGGUUGGUGUCAAGGAUUAUGGUGAUUAUGAAAAUAAAGACCUACUGGAAAGGUUUGGAAUAUCACCUGAAGACCUACCUGUGAUCAAGCUUUACUUCCCUGACGGCCGGCCGCCGCUGCCCUUCAGCGGCCCGGUGA